rnacentral:rRNA from 1 species
AUGGGAACGCGAAGAACCUUACCUAGACUUGACAUCUCCUGAAUAGUGUAGAGAUACAUGAAGCCCUUCGGGGCAGGAAGACAGGUGGUGCAUGGUUGUCGUCAGCUCGUGUCGUGAGAUGUUGGGUUAAGUCCCGCAACGAGCGCAACCCUUAUUACUAGUUGCUACCAUUAAGUUGAGCACUCUAGUGAGACUGCCCGGGUUAACCGGGAGGAAGGCGGGGAUGACGUCAAAUCAUCAUGCCCCUUAUGUCUAGGGCAACACACGUGCUACAAUGGUGAGUACAGAUAGAUGCGAUACCGCAAGGUGGAGCCAAACUCUAAAACUCAUCCCAGUUCGGAUUGUAGGCUGCAACUCGCCUACACGAAGUUGGAGUUGCUAGUAAUCGCGAAUCAGAAUGUCGCGGUGAAUACGUUCCCGGGUCUUGUACACACCG